rnacentral:rRNA from 1 species
AUUGAACGCUGGCGGCAUGCUUUACACAUGCAAGUCGAACGGUAACAGGCCGCAAGGUGCUGACGAGUGGCGAACGGGUGAGUGAUGCAUCGGAACGUGCCCAGUCGUGGGGGAUAACGCAGCGAAAGCUGCGCUAAUACCGCAUACGAUCUCUGGAUGAAAGCGGGGGACCGAAAGGCCUCGCGCGAUUGGAGCGGCCGAUGUCAGAUUAGGUAGUUGGUGGGGUAAAGGCCCACCAAGCCAACGAUCUGUAGCUGGUCUGAGAGGACGACCAGCCACACUGGGACUGAGACACGGCCCAGACUCCUACGGGAGGCAGCAGUGGGGAAUUUUGGACAAUGGGCGCAAGCCUGAUCCAGCAAUGCCGCGUGCAGGAAGAAGGCCUUCGGGUUGUAAACUGCUUUUGUACGGAACGAAACGGUCCGGGUUAAUACCCUGGGCUAAUGACGGUACCGUAAGAAUAAGCACCGGCUAACUACGUGCCAGCCGCCGCCGUAAUGC